UAACCCUGAAGCUGCUGCCCCCACCCACACAAGCUCUGUCCUGUAUAGAGGUGGAGGCCAAUAAUGAAGAGACGCUGUCUGUGUGCUCAGAAAGACCAUCACUGGUACAGUUUGGAAGACAGAACCCCUUCUGAGCCUGUGGCCUCCACCUCGAGACAAACAACACACUCAAGAGAUGUUGGAGCAGACUCUGUGAGGGGGCUCUAAAAGAAAAUUGGAACUUGACAUUGAAUACAAGAAAACCAAAAUUAAAAUAUCAAAGCUGGAGCUGGAGAAACUGGAGCAUGAGAAAA